GGGGUUGUUCAUGGAUUCGACAGGAUAGCUAGCGUUUGAUAAGCAUGCCUGGGUGAUGCCAGUCAAACAUCAAGGUUAAAUAUAACCGGAAACACUCAAACCGCUUUCGCAGCUUAAGUAUAAGCGCGACUAUGCAUCUGGGAAGUCUACGGCCCAGCUUUGCAUAGACAGCUUAGUAGACUAUAUCUAGAAUCUGCCGUCUUAAGAGCCUAGACGAACUGAAUAAGACUCGCAUUUCACUUGGACGUGUUUGGCCUGGUGAUUUGUUAAAUCAAACUAAACACUAAGCAUGUAGAAAGUGAAAUGGCACCUAUUCUGGACAGGGGUUCAAAUCCCCUCAACUCCACCA
rnacentral:tmRNA from 1 species